GACAAAUCUUCACAGGAAGCUGCAUCUAUGACCAACAGUGGCUCUGUUCACAUUUCCUAUCUUUCUCUUGUUGGCUGUGAGGCUUACAGGGAUUAUGGUGAGGCUUAAAUAUAAAAGAUGCAAAGAAGCCUAGAUCGCCAUCCAACAGAAAAGCAGGAUCAUGAAAACACGAACCGUGUCCUCUCACCCACCUUAUUCUCUGGAUCUGGCACCAGGAGACUCUUCACCAAUAUCAAUAGGACCAGGAAGGGGAAAUGCCGUGAGUUGGUUCAGGACAUGGAGGCAACUACAACAGUACAAUUAAAGACCCUGUGGAAAGAGCACUCCAGAGCUGCUGCAGGAAGUGGCGAGAACUAUGGGAGGGGUGUGUUUGAAACAUCCCGUGUCUGUCCAUGCAGCAGAGUCCUCAGCGUUCAGCCAGACUCAGAAAGUACAGCAAACCAAAACAAGCGAUUAUAGUGUACUCUCCACUCUGUCGCAAAGUUCUUACCUGGCCAGCUGUGUCGCCUGCAACAUGUGACUGAGCUGCUGUUCAAGUGGAGGGACUUCGGUCUCAGAUCUAGAGCCAAGAUUUGCGAGCAUUGCCUGGACAGGGGACGCUGAUAUCAAGUGACUUUGUCCUCCUUGGAACUCACUGUACCCAACGUCUCCUGACCAAUCUCACGUCCACCCAAAGACAAGGGUGCAGUGGCAGCCCUGACAGCCCCGUCCCUAACACACGGAUGGGUGGAGG